UAGUUUGGCUACCCAAUCAAAGUGACUCAACUAGAAUUAGAAUCAAAGGAUAACAGAUGUUAAACCUAAGCGUACGACAAACUUAGCCAUAAAUUACUAACCUAAUUCUCUGGUGCAUAGUCAAUCAAGCAAGCAACUGUGCAGAAAAUGUUGAAAAAUAGAGAAGGACCUGAUUAGAGAGCUGUACUCUCCAGAAGUGGCUGCUCAAAUUUUAGCUAUCCCUAUCUCAAGCUGUGGAGUUACUGAUAAGCUGCUAUGGCCUCAUACAACACAACUUAGUAUGCACAAGCCUGUUAUGCACAACAUGUUGAUUAGAGUAACUACUAGAGAGUCCCAAGGCGAGUGUGUCCAGUCGUGGAGGGAUGGCAAGUGUUGCUGACAAUUGAGGGGCACUGGCAGAGCAGAUGCAAAUGGGGUUGUUUUGCCUAUGUAGCUAAAUAAUGGGCUGGUAGAUAAUUUUUCAGGCUGUUUCAGUAAUACCAUAUGCAAACGAGUGGAAGCUUACUGUUUGAGAAGCAUAUUUUCCAGGCUUGUUUCUGAGUGUUAGGAAUCUGAGCUUGUAUAUAUAUUUAAAUAUAUGUGCAAUCACCAUCUAAAUAAAAAGGUCUCACGAUAGACAAUCUUCAAAGCAAAAACAAGUCUGAUUUUAUCUGUCACCAAAACAUUGCUGUCAAUGACUCAAUUAUUAGACCUGCCACAUAAUAAAAUAUGGAACUGUAACUAUCAGUAA